UACGUAGGGCGCAAGCGUUGUCCGGAAUUAUUGGGCGUAAAGAGCUCGUAGGCGGCUUGUCGCGUCUGUUGUGAAAGUCCGGGGCUCAACUCCGGAUCUGCGGUGGGUACGGGCAGACUAGAGUGAUGUAGGGGAGACUGGAAUUCCUGGUGUAGCGGUGAAAUGCGCAGAUAUCGGAAGGAACAUCAGUGGCGAAAGCGACUUCCUGGACCAGUACCGACGUUCAGGCACGAAAGCGUGGGGAGCAAACAGG
rnacentral:rRNA from 1 species